UGGACUUGUACGAUGGAUGCGCCACAUCAUUUAAUGUGAAAAGAUACAAUCAUGGACAUGCUGAAUGAUGUGACGCAUGACUCCGAGGUGCUCAGCCACACAGGGAGAAGAGGGAGAGAGAGAACGAGAGAGAGAGAAAGAGAUGAGUCGAGCUGACAGAUCCUCAGAGGAAGAUGGCACAGUGUAAUACGGGUUGCGUGGAGCCUGGAGGGAACUCGAGGUGGGGACACCCUGGACGGGGUGCCAACCGAUCACAGGACACAAUCACACACACACAGUCACACACUACGGACAAUUUGGGAAUGUUAAUUCACCUGCAACGCAUGUCUUUGGACUGGGGGAGAAAAUCGGAGUACCCAGAGGAAACCCCCGAAGCACGUGGAGAACAUGCAAACUCCACCAACACAGGAUGGUGGCGGGAUAUGAACUCCUAGCCCUGGAGGUGCAAGGUGCUAACCACUAACCCACAAUGCCCACCUCAGUCAUUGGAAGUUGUGCACUGUAAAUAAGAUGCACUCAGCCUGGGAAUAUUACAAUCCACACAAAAGUGUACAUUUGUCAACAGCCAAGUUUCUAUACCAAAAACAUCACCUGAUGCGCGCGCGCACACACACACACACACACACACACACACACACACACACACAGUUCCCACUGAGACUGAUGAGGCCACUGAGAGGUCAAAUAUGUCACAGCUGAAAAUAUCGGACCGCCUCCCGCUGCUUAGUGUCAGUUCCGGGCCUGCAUGACUGGCAGAAGCCUUUGAAAGUGUGUGUGUGUGUGUGUGUGUGUGUGUGUGUGUGUGAGAGAGAGAGAGAGAAAGCGAGAGAGAGAGCUUUUAUGUCUUGAUAUCUUGGUGUGGACCAAAUGGAUCCCUGGAUCCACACAAGGAAAGAACUAUCUGACAGUUGGCCUCUACCACAAGGUUAGAGGUUAGAUUUAGGUGCAGGCAUAGCAUUAUUGGAAGGCUCUCACAAGGAUAAUAAGACUGUGUGUGUGUGUGUGCGUGUUAAGGAGAGAGACAAAGAGAGAAAAGGAGAGUGAGAGAGAGAGAUCCGGUGCAUUGUACAAUCCAAAGGGCAAACCAGUGAAUGGAAAGAUCCCCAGCAGAUGAUUGACACAACCUGACACUGUAAUAUAUCACUCCUGCAAAGCAUCAUGGGAGAUGUGAGUGACCCCUCUAAUUUCCCUGCCAGUAUGUUUGCUUUCCUCCCUCCACAAAGGCAUUUAGAUCUAAAUUAGUUCGAAAUGUUUGAUGUAAACUGAUUAAAUCAGUUUUGAACCUCCGCAGAGCCCUUAUUAUUUUUCAGUUAUUAGCUUUAAAACAGAUUAUUCAGUGAGUGUUAUGAAUUAUUCAGUAAGUACAGUGAAGGCAAUAGUAAAAUGUCUGUAGUUAUGAGAGCAAGGAAUGAGCACAGUCAGGGUUUGUGUAGCCUAAGAACCCUCGAAGAAAGGGUUAAAUGUAUUUAAAGAGGUUUCUAUACAGUAUCACUUGAACUAUGUCUCACUUUGUGACUUCAUGACUAUUUUUUAAUAUCUGCGUCAUGUGUACAUGACUAAUGAGUCUAAACUCACAAAUAGAAAUUAAUCACACUAAUCGCUAAUGACAUGCCUCCAGUCUUUCACAGAAAGCAAUUUGCACACCUGCUAAACACGGUUCAUGCAAAUAUCUGGCUUCGAGAGAAAUCACUCUUCCGAUUAAAUAGCCAUUAAAAAAACAGUGUUUAUGUUAGAUAGUGACGAGGCGUGUUCUUGCCCUCGGUGCUCUGUGUUUCAACAGAAUAAACAUCCCUGAUAUUUCAACUAGAGGAAAGGGAUUCCCCCAAAGAGAUUUAGCAUCUGACCCCUCCUCUCUUCUCCUCCUCUCUUCCCCUCCUCUCCACCACCUUCUUUUUUUUUUUCCACCAGACAAUUCACACUGGCAGUUUCCAUGACAACAAAUAGAAAUUUAACUGCACACCUCAUGUGAGUGUUUCACUGCCAGUGAUAUGAAGCCAGAAUCUCCUUCCAUGUGACCACUCCCAAAAAAAACACCUCUUUAUCAUCCUCACAACUCAACCCAUCUAUCUGUCUAUCUGUCUAUCUGUCUGUCUAUCUGUCUAUCUAUCUAUCUAUCUAUCUAUCUAUCUAUCUAUUUAUGUCUGUCUAUCUGGCUCUGUCUGUCUGCCUGUCUAUCUGUCUAUAUAUAAUAGAAUUUCAUUAAAAAGAAACGGAAUAGAAUAGAAUAGAGUACAUUCUCCCCUUUUCUUUCCUUCCUUCCUUCCUUCCAUCCUUUUUAUCUUCUUUCUUUUUACUGUAAUUUUAUAUAUUUAUUUAGUAUAAUUUAAAGAGUUACAUUUAAAUUAUACUAUAUAAAUUACAUUUUUGUAUUUAUUUCAUAUUAAUUUCAAAUAAUUUCCAUUCAUGAUUAAUUUCAUAAUUUUUUUUUCUUUUGUUUUGUUCUCCCUUCCUUUGUUCCUUCCUUCAUUAUCUUCUUUCUUUCUUUCUUUCGUUCUUUCUUUCUUUAUUGUAAAAUUAAUAAAUUUACUUAGUAUAAUUUAUAUAAGGUAUAAAUUAAAAUGUUAUAAUUAAUUUUAUAUUCAUUUAUUUUUUAUUAUUUCAUAGUUUUAUUUUUUUCUGCGGCUUGAUAUUUCUUUCUUUCCUUAAACUUGGUUUAAUUCUCAUUUUGAUUUAUAAUACUUUAUGUUUUGAGAUUAUUAUAUCAAAAUAUAAUAAUAAUAAUAAUAAUAAUAAUAAUAAUAAUAAUAAUAAUAAUAAAAGUAAGAACUUUUUGUCACUCCCCAGACUCCCAAUUCCUCAUUUUUUAUAACUAUACACAUUUGAUAUCAUUUGUACAGAUGUUACUAAAUUAUUCAUAUUGAGCUAUUCGGAAUAAUAUAAAGAAAUACAUGGUAAUAUAUUAAUAUAGUAACAUACUACUUAGUAUUGUGUUUAUGCAUUAUUGAACACCUGGAUGGAUAACUGAAUAAUAAGCAAAAACUUUUUUUAAAAAAAUUAAGUAAAUAUUCUUUAUCAGUACUAAGCAAUAAUUUGGUCACAUUCUGGCAGUUUUGAUAUUUUCUGACUCAGACACUUCUCUAAUUCUGAUUGAUGCUUGACCUAUAUAG